GUUUUGGUUGUUUGGGUUCCUGGCAUGCUGAUUUGUGACUUAAGAUGAAAAUCACAUUGCCAGGGAUUACCACAUAACCAUGACAC
ensembl:miRNA aca-mir-23b aca-mir-23b